rnacentral:misc_RNA from 1 species
GAUGAAGAACGUAGCGAAAUGCGAUAAGUAAUGUGAAUUGCAGAAUUCAGUGAAUCAUCGAAUCUUUGAACGCACCUUGCGCCCUUUGGCCAUUCCGAAGGGCAUGCCUGUUUGAGUAUCAUGAACACCUCAACUCUCAUGGCUCGCCAUGAUGAGCUUGGAUUUGGGGGUCUUGCUGGCCUGUUGUCGGCUCCUCUCAAAUGGAUCAGCUUGCCAGUGUUUGGUGGCAUCACAGGUGUGAUAACUAUCUGCGCUUGUGGUUUUCCAUCAGAUAACCUUCAGUGAUGGAGGUUCGCUGGAGCUCAUAAACGUCUCCCCUAAGCGGGGACAGCCCUUUGAAUGUUUGAUCUCAAAUCAGGUAGGACUACCCGCUGAACUUAAGCAUAUCAAUAAGCGGAGGA